AGAAAUGAGCAAAGCAGUGAUAUUUUAGGGAGCAGGCUAGCAGGCCCGUUACUUACAUAACAGGAGCCUACACAACACAAAACACUGUUGCUGUAUGUAGGUUUUAUUUCAUUUGUUUUUUAUCUUAUAUUUUGGAGGCCCCCAAGAGAGUGGGGCCCUAAGCUAUAGCUUGUUUAGCUUAUACGUAAAUCUGGCACUGGUCGUAUUGGUGCUGGAACAGGUUCUAAGGUGGGAUCUUUUAAUCCUACAGCUCUGUGCAUGUUUUCUUGUAAGGAAGUCCCACUGUGUUCAGUGGAGCUUACUCUAAAAUAAGUGUACAUAGGGUUGUAGCCAUAGUCAAUUAGAUCACCAAUGCAAGUUCAAUGUUUAUCCAACUGCUUCUAAAGUACUUGCUUGAGCACAAAGGUCUCCAGGGAGGCUCUAACCAUGUUCAUCUAAACAUAGUUAAAAUCCCUCCUUAGAUCAGGAAUCUUAACUAUGCAGAGUUACAUAUUGUGGGAAAGAUUCUCCCCAUUUCAAGAAUCUCCCUGAGGAUCUUCAUAUUCAACACAUGAAAGUUUGGGAGAAGAGGGAUAUACGGUAUGUGGUUUGGUAUAACCUGUGUUCUAUGUAAGCAAACAAUGUGAAAAUUACAGACUGAAACAAAAUACAGCAGAACGAUCACAGCAGAACGAUAUAUACUAUAUAGUUUUGUCAUGUAUUAUAUUGUACUAAAAUGAAGCAGGAAAUGGUGUACCAAAUACACAGACAUCUAAGUUCUGAACAAGGAUAGGUACAUUGUUUCUUUUAAAGUCAAAGCAGAUAACGUAGAAUGAAACAAUUCUAAAAUGGAUUCAAUUGUAUGAAAGAGAAACUAACAGGGGUCAGCAAACUUUUUCAGCAGGGGGUCGGUCCACUGUCCCUCAGACCUUGUGGGGACCUUGUGGGGGGCCGGACUAUAUUUUUUGGGGGGAAAUGAACAAAUUCCUAUGCCCCACAAAUAACCCAGAGAUGCAUUUUAAAUAAAAGCACACCUUCUACUCAUGUAAAAACACCAGGAAGGCCCCACAAAUAACCCAGAGAUGCAUUUUAAAUGAAAGGACACAUUCUACCCAUGUAAAAACACACUAAUUCCUGGACCAUCCGCGGGCCAGAUUUAUAAGGCGAUUGGGCUGAAUCCAGCCCCUGGGCCUUAGUUUGCCUACCCAUGAACUAGAGCAUACAGGAAAAUUAAGUUGCAGAUUGCGGGCCAGACUGCACCCGCUGAUCUGUUAACUGUUAAUAAACAAAACCCUCAAGCACUAACUGCCACUCUGUUAAUUACAUUCAAGAGAUGGGAGUUACAAAGCUCUUUCAAAGUGAUGGAGUUUAGUUGGAAAGGAUGGACUUUCCAACUUUUUAAAAAACCUUUUCACUUUCAGCAAGGCAAUAACUGCUGUGGUUUUUGUGGGAUAUGGGGUAGCAAUAUCUCCAGAAUGGAAAUUUUCUCAAAGAGGAAAGAAUGAACUUUAGUGAGAUUAUAUUAGUUUUAAAGCACUGAACACCCAAGUCCUGAGAGAGAAAGACAGCAAACGCAGAAACACAUACCGUAAAUUUAUUUCAUAUAGAUCUGUAAUAAGAUUCUGUAUAUUAAGGGGUAGUUAAUAUUAUUGUAUUAUUGUGAUUGGCAGUUUCUACAGCCAUUUCUCCUUAUUGUGGUGCCCAUGUGAAUCUUCUGGAUUACACUGGUACCUUGGGUUACAUACGCUUCAGGUUACAUAUGCUUCAGGUUACAGACUCCGCUAACCCAGAAAUAUUCCCUCGGGUUAAGAACUUUGCUUCAGGAUUAGAACAGAAAUCGUGCUCUGGCGGCGCGGCAGCAGCAGGAGGCCCCAUUAGCCAAAGUGGUGCUUCAGGUUAAGAACAGUUUCAGGUUGAGUACAGACCUCCAGAACGAAUUAAGUACUUAACCUGAGGUACCACUGUACACAGAAAAUGUCUAUGCCAACAACAUAGAUAUUUUUGGAAGAUAUCUAAUACUAGAUUAAGAAAAGCUCCAUGUGAUCAGCUGGAGUGAUAAGAGCCACCAUAGGGGCCUCUCCCACCGAUGGGACAACAUGUAGACUGGCUCUGAUUAGUCCCAAGAGGACAGUGGCAUGGCUUAACACUGUUUACUGUACCAUUUCCUCUGUUUCUAGUGUUCGGGCUGUGGGUACUGUUGCUUAUGUCAUCAAAAGUGCACACAUACCCCACAUGGAAGCAGUGGCGGAGCUACAUGCUCUGGCACUGGGAGGUGGAGAGCAGGUGGGGGCAGGGCUGGCACGUAUCCUGGGGGCGUGGCAUACCGCCCGUGUCCUGGGGGCGUGGCGUGCUUCCUGAGGGUGUGGUGCGCCACCCUCAGGGGUGUGGCGCCCAGCGUGGGUGGGAGGCAGCUGCGAUGGCCCCCUACCGGGAUCAUGCUGCUGGGGGCAGUGUGCUCCCCCUGCACUCCUCUUCCUCCGCCAGUGCACGCAAGAGGGAGGUAUUAUCAUGCUUGGGGAGCCCACAAUGUUUACAGAAGGACACCUAAAAAUUAAUUAAAUUUCUAUACAGCCAUUCAUCCGAGGAUCACAGGGCAACUUACCAUAUAAAAGCACUAAGAUGCAUAACAUAGUAAUAAACUAAAACAAUACCUCCCCCAAUUAAAAAGUCAUAGAUUGUUUAAGUAGCCAAAUCCCAGGGAGAAGGAGUGGCUGGCUACAGGGGUGCCAACUUGAAUAAAAUAUGGGGGGAGGCAAGUUGAUCACAUGACACAGCACACAUACACCAUUUGAAUGGAAAUGCCCAUCAACUUUGGGGGGACUCGGUCCCCUCAAAUAUUUUAUUGGGGGGGGUCGAAGGGACCUUGGCCUCAAGGAUUUGGCUCUUAUGGCUGGCUGGAACAAUGAAAAGCAGCACAUCACAAUGCAGCAUAUUGCUUCAGAUGCCACUUGUUCUUUCUACUGUUUUGUUAAAAACGGAGAAGCAGAGUAACUAUCCCACUUACUCCUUUUAUCAACCUUAUGCAACAAAGCUGAAAGUAUACAUAUGGCUUUAAAUGGCUUACUGCCAAUCCACUGGUGUUAUCAUUGACACUAGCAAAUAUUACUCACUUUAGUAAGGCAGCAUGGCUUGUAAUGUUAAUCUUUUGAUGGCUGUUUAAUUAACAAAGGCCAACUGGAUGAGUAUGUUGGAGGAAACACCAUGCCCCCAUCAAAUGUUGAAGGAGACAAGACUUCCGGGUCAGCGCCAUCGGUGAAUGGCAGAGUUCCUCCGAUCGGAGGAACGGGCUCCAUAGAAAUUGGGUCUUCCCGCCACGGCAAAGGUGGGGACCCACUAGAAAUCCCAGGCGGAGGAAGCCUGGGAACGUGGGGUUCGGCAGGGCACCAGGAGCGCCCCCCCUACUCACCAGGAACCCCAUUUUGGGGCGCCGGAGCGAAGUGGGGUGAGCAGCGCGGUGCUGCGAACUGAUUGCUAUUUUUACGGAGUGAAGCUGCACAGCCAUUGCCGGAGAGCGCUGACUUUUUCCUGUGGACAAUUGGAUUUAAAACAAGUACCCGUGAGUAGAAACGGAAAAUUGGAUCAAGAAAUAUCUUAAUUUGGCAUCGAAGUGGGAAGGUUCAAAACAGGAAGUCCGCCUUCCGCUUUCUGUAUAUAGACUAAAGCAAAAACUUUGUAAGCUAAAGCCUGGAAAGCCGUUAAAAAAGUCUAAAUUUCCUUCAUUUAUAAUUACUGAAACCCCCUUGGAAGUAGGAGAAAAGGGGGGAGAACUUUGUUUAACCCCUGCAGGAGAGGGAGUGAAGAAGGAUAAGUUUCCACCAUCUCUAACCUGGAAACGGGGUGUCAGAGACAGAAAUAGUUGGAGAGGUUCAUUGACUGUGAAUGGAAUACUUUGACAGAUAGCUAAAGAAGAGAAAUAAACUGAUUCCAAUGUUGCCUUUUGCAUUCUAAAGAAACAAAAUAUCUGAAAAAUAUCUGAAAAAUGAAAGUAAUUUUCCUUUGUUGGACUUGCCUUAAAAAAAUGGAUACAAAUAGAAAUUGUCUCCCCUAGAGGGAGCUUGUUAAAUUGUUGCUGCAGUCUACGUGAGGACUCAACAGCUGUGAGAUUAAGAUCGUGGGAUUAGUCUUUUCUGACCUUGACUAAAGAUGAGCUGGAAGGAAGACUGGGUGCUUGCUUUAUGCAAGACAAGUGCCUUGCUGGAACAGAUGCACGAGAAGAUGGAUUUGAUGAAUGAGAAAAUGGACUUGAUGACUGUUGUGGUUAACAACUGUGGACAAACAGGGAACAUUGAUACAGAAACCAUUCAGGGACCAACUCAUGAACCUGUACUGACUGGGCAAGUGCAGAAAAUAAUGGAGGAGGAUGCGGUUGCACCUCAAAUAAUACAAAUGGAGAAACCCGAGGCCCUACAGGAGCAUAAGCCGCUGCCAUUGAAGAUGGAAGUUGGAGUGGGCCAGGGGGAGUCUGGAGCUGAGGAGGUUCCUAAUUUUGGAGAGACCUUGAAAUAUGUUUUUAAAUACUUUUUGGAUUACACUGAUGACUGUGGGGAGUGGGACUGUGGGGAAUGGGCGGGUUUGAUGAAGGGAGAUGGAGACAAUUUUGGGUUGGAACCCCCCAGAGACCUACUCCUCAAUGAGAAAGGAAAGAAAUUAAGAAAGAGACCAACAAAUGACAAGGAAAAGGGCAAGUAUAAACAAGAAGAAGAAGAUCUGCAGAAGGGACAUGGAAGAGACUUAAGGGCCUCGGACAUAAGACUUCCAGGUUGAUGGACUAGAUGGAAUGGGCAGUAAGGACUGACACGACCCGAGACCAGGAAGAAGAGACGUUGGAUGAAGACUGG